CUCUCUCUCUUUCUCUGGUUCCCUUUUUUGCUUGUUGUUUUUUCCCUAAAGCCCCAACAGACCAAAUCAGUUUUAACAUUUUGGGUGAAUUCAAUAGCAGGUUUUUAAAAAGGUUAAAAGAAAAAGGUAACCCCCCUCUCUCUGUUUCUCUGUCACUCUCUCUCUCUCUCUCUCUCUCUCUCUCUCUCUCUAAAUCACAACGUUAUGUUAUUCCAUUAUGUUAUUUGUGAGUGUUGUCUAUGAAAGUCCAGGACCUGUGCCGUGUGCUCUGGCGGAGAGAUUCCAGCUCCUUCUCCCUAUCCUGGAGUCCUCAUGAAGAUCAUGUGAUCAUGAAGGCCAGGUUUCAGACAGGACGACUCUGAUACAAAUCCUGAGACAAAAUCACAGAGGUGUUGAUUUCUUUAGGGACACGUUUGUCCGGGAGUGCACGGCAUUGUAAUUCCUAACCCCCCCCCACCCCCUGAUGCUCUCGUGUUCGCCAAAAUGUUAAAGGCCAGAUGCUUAACAAGCAUCUUCUACUCAGUAGAGGCUAAAGAACAAAUAAUUAUGCAGCUACACCCCCGAAUCAGGCCCUUCCUCCCCCGCAUUUAGUUAAUUCAUGCGCAUUUCAUACGACACCUACUAUUAAAAGCACUGAAGCCACAGAGAGACCCACCUGGACCCAGACCGACCCCUGGAUCAAAGACAUGCUAAUGAGAGCGACACAGGCCUCGGAAUGGAGACGUGUCUCCUAGAGCAGGACAUGGGGAAGGUGUCCAAGGAAGAGCGCUGGAAGGGUGGAGCCCGGGAGCAGGAGCCAGAGGGCCAGACCUGGAGACUAUAGAACUCUGGAACCAAAGACAUCUAGAACCACAGCAUUCUAGAAUCACUCUAGAAGCAUGGAACUCUAGAACUGCAUUCUAGAUAGCUGUUCUAGAAUGUCUGCCUAGGUAGAUGGGUUAUCAGUCUGUUAAGAUGCAAGAUACGUGUACAACAACCUCUAUGAUUUAGACCCAUUCCUUUAUGAAUUAAACACUGCAGCUGGCAUUAUAAGACUGCCACUGUGAAACAUUGCUUCAGUGUUUGUGAGGAGUUGUAUUAUGUCCCUGUACAAUAUAACCACCAUAAUGGUUCAUCAGUAGAACAGUAGCAAAAAAACUCAAUUAUAGUCUUUGCACAUAUUAAAAGUUAGAGUUACUGCAAAAGAAGAUGAACUUGAUAAUAUACUACAAGGAGCACUUCUGGGAUUGCCAGCUGAUGCAAAGCGAUAACCUGGAGCCGUAAGCGUUAUGUAAAGGAUAAGAUCAGCAUCUCCCAUUCCUGGUUAUCCAAACAAUGCUUUAUUUAGUCCACUGUGUCGGACUCACCUCCCUAAAAAGAUUCCAA